UCCCUGCUGUAUCAAUGAAACAUAUAUCAACUGAUACAUGGAAAAAUGUGCACCAUAAAAUUGUGAAUGUGCAUGUGCUAUAUUUUUAUAUAAUAUAAUGCAUAAUUUAUUAAAAAAUGCUCAUAUUUUUCUUUCUUUAAAUUAGUAAUGAAUGAAUUUAUAACAUUGCUGAUUUUGCAAUUAACAUUAUUUAUUACAUUUGUUGCAAUAGCUAUAUCGCAAUAUUUAUUAUUAAUGAUUCGUAAUAGUUAACAAUAAACCAUUACACUUGAAUUAAUGCAUUUUGCACUUUAGAAUUCAUUGUGUUAAAAACUUAAAUGAUACGAUACGGGAGCUGUAUGAUAACUGUAUGCACAUAAUUUUGAUGUAAGUAAUAUUAUAGGGUGCUACGGGUACAUAUUACUUUACCAUUCCCUUGCAAUGAUACUGUCCUUUACAAAAGUUUAGGUUAUUGGGAAUCAAAAUUUUUGAUUCUCAAUAAUCUAUUUUUUUGUAAAGGACAAUACCCUUUAUACAUAGUACAGUACUAAAUCAGGGUCUCACGUUUAUAAACAUGGCACAUUAGGGAAAUUAUAAUGUGUAUCUGCUAACAAGUUUACAUCAAAGUAUAAUAUUCUAAAAUUUGACUUCCGUGCCUCUAAUUUAUGAUCCUGUGAGAAUUUAUCCUAUAAAGCAUCGUUUUAAUGACUAAAGUUUGAACAUGCAUGUGUCGUGAUAACGCAGUCUUUGCCUUAAAUUAAGUGACCAUUGCGUUCAUAAGUCCUUCAUUGCCAUCAUUCUAAGACUGCUUCAAGGUAUUGUGUAUUUUUAUUGAUUCUGUAUGUAUUAUUUAAAUAUGUAUGCAAUUCAAUGAAUAUCAUUGGUUAGCUUUUUGUCUCGUGCUUUAAAAUAUUUUGCGCAAUAUUGAGUCGAUUAUGAUUUCUGAAUAUGAAUAGAUACAUGUGUAUUUACAUGUUGGAUGAAUGUCAAUAAAAACAUGAUGAUAUCAUUUUUAU
rnacentral:misc_RNA from 1 species